UACGGGGGGGGCAAGCGUUGUUCGGAAUUACUGGGCGUAAAGGGUUCGUAGGUGGCCAACUAAGUCAGACGUGAAAUCCCUCAGCUUAACUGGGGAACUGCGUCUGAUACUGGAUGGCUUGAGUUUGGGAGAGGGAUGCGGAAUUCCAGGUGUAGCGGUGAAAUGCGUAGAUAUCUGGAGGAACACCGGUGGCGAGGGCGGCAUCCUGGACCAACACUGACGCUGAGUGAGCGAAAGCCAGGGGAGCAAACGGG
rnacentral:rRNA from 1 species